AUUGAACGCUAGCGGGAGGCUUAACACAUGCAAGUCGAACGAGAGGCGGACGGGUGAGUAAUAAAUCGGAACGUGCCCAGGAGCGGGGGAUAACUACUGGAAAGUGUGGCUAAUACCGCAUUAUAUAGGAUCGGCCGAUAUAGGAUUAGCUAGUUGGAGGGGUAAAGGCUCACCAAGGCAACGAACCGUAGCUGGUUUGAGAGGACGACCAGCCACACUGGGACUGAGACACGGCCCAGACUCCUACGGGAGGCAGCAGUGGGGAAGUUUGGACAAUGGGGGCAACCCUGAUCCAGCCAUCCCGCGUGUAUGAGAAGGCCUUCGGGUUGUAAAGUACUUUUGGCAGAGAGGCGUUAUCUGCAGAAUAAGCACCGGCUAACUACGUGCCAGCCGCCGCGGUAAUUC
rnacentral:rRNA from 1 species